CCUGUGAACGGACGGAGCGUCAGAUGAGAUGAUGAAGGGUGGGACUGGCUCAGUCGGCGGAAGAUAGCGGUCUGGAUGAUGCUGGCUGGCUGAGAGAGAGCUGCUCUCCCCGCGGCGGA
ensembl:lncRNA